UACGUAGGGUGCGAGCGUUAAUCGGAAUUACUGGGCGUAAAGCGUGCGCAGGCGGUCUGUUAAGACCGAUGUGAAAUCCCCGGGCUUAACCUGGGAACUGCAUUGGUGACUGGCAGGCUUUGAGUGUGGCAGAGGGAGGUAGAAUUCCACGUGUAGCAGUGAAAUGCGUCGAGAUGUGGAGGAAUACCGAUGGCGAAGGCAGCCUCCUGGGCCAACACUGACGCUCAUGCACGAAAGCGUGGGGAGCAAACAGG
rnacentral:rRNA from 1 species